rnacentral:rRNA from 1 species
UGGGGAAUAUUGGACAAUGGGCGCAAGCCUGAUCCAGCCAUACCGCGUGGGUGAAGAAGGCCUUCGGGUUGUAAAGCCCUUUUGUUGGGAAAGAAAUCCAGCCGGCUAAUACCUGGUUGGGAUGACGGUACCCAAAGAAUAAGCACCGGCUAACUUCGUGCCAGCAGCCGCGGUAAUACGAAGGGUGCAAGCGUUACUCGGAAUUACUGGGCGUAAAGCGUGCGUAGGUGGUCGUUUAAGUCCGUUGUGAAAGCCCUGGGCUCAACCUGGGAACUGCAGUGGAUACUGGGCGACUAGAGUGUGGUAGAGGGUAGCGGAAUUCCUGGUGUAGCAGUGAAAUGCGUAGAGAUCAGGAGGAACAUCCAUGGCGAAGGCAGCUACCUGGACCAACACUGACACUGAGGCACG